AUGCAUUGUCCCAGGAUGUAUUACAGUAUAUUGGUGCCCCCUAGCGUAUGAUUUUUCCCUGCUUCAGAAUAAGAUUCAAUUUAGAGGAGCCAUGAGCCAGACACGGAAACUGCUUCAGUCUCGUCGCUCGCAUCGACCAAACUAACGAGCACCAUUUUAAACUGAUGACUGUUUGUUUAAAUUCUGUUUUACAUGACUUGGACGGCAAAGCUUCGAGAGUUGCCAAAGUUGGAUUUACUUUUUUGCCACUUCGGGCAGUCCCAGCGGUGAUCCCGCGAACAUGGAGAGUCUGUAAAUAAAACACCCCGCAAGGUAUCGACUUAUCGAGGAGCCAGUUUUUGCUUCAAAAUGAGUGAAAAAGUUUGGGAGAAGACACAAGAGAGAAAGCCGUGGCAGCAUUCAGUCCUGAGCCAGACAUGGCUCACAUGUGGCCCCAAAGGCAGCAGACAGUGUAUUGAGUUACUGUAACUCAAGGUGUAAUGUGGUAGCAGUGGGGGAUAUGUAAAAACUACACAAACGGAUGUAGUAGAGGCUUGCUUCAGCUUCGCAUUACAGCUAUUCAGACGGUUUAUUUUCUUAAACUAAACAUUGAAUCAUGUAUUUGUUCUAAUGGAAGCCAUAUUUCUUAUAGUGGCAUUCAGCUACUUAUAUCAAACUGCUAUUGUUUCAACAGCAUUGUGUCACCAGGUUCAGUUAUUUUUAUGUGUUCAUUUCUACUGAAUAAUUAUGUUUAUAGCACUCAGAGAGGACUUGUUAAUGCAUGCUGGUAAACUUCUAAUAGAAUAAUAGCUGUAUUUAAUACUUUUUGAAGAUUUGGGAUGUUUAGGUGCUAAUGUGGUGCGUACAACUAUGACAUGACUGCUCAAGUAUUAGUGUUUGCAUUGUUACUUAAGUAGCUGAUGAAGUAGCCCAUAUGUGUGAUUUUAAUUUGCAGAGUGCCACACCUAUGACAAAUAAAGUUUUAAUCUAUGA